AUGCUGACCCCAGAACGCGAAGACACCAUCUCUUGGCGUUGGACUCCAAACGGCACCUACUCCUCUGCCUCAGCCUACAUGGCCCAGUUCUGCGGAUCCUUCCCCAGGUUCACGCCGUCCAAGAUUUGGGAGGCCCAUGCAGAACCAAAGUGCAAACUCUUCUCCUGGCUGGUCCUCCAUGGGAAAACCCUAACGGCAGACAUGCUAGCUAUUCGUGGCUGGCCUCAUGACCCCAUCUGUCCUCUCUGCCUGCGGGCACCGGAAACUGCAAACCACUUGUGCAAGGACUGUCCGUUCGCGGUGGCGGUUUGGUCGCAUGUACAAUGA
rnacentral:rRNA from 1 species